rnacentral:rRNA from 1 species
GAUGAACGCUGACAGAAUGCUUAACACAUGCAAGUCGAUGGGGAAGGCUGAGCUUGCUCAGCUGGUAACCAUGGCGGACGGGUGAGUAACGCGUAAGGAACUUACCUGCGGGACUGGGAUAACGGAGGGAAACUUCUGACAAGACCGGAUAAAGUUACUGGGCAGCAUUGUUUGGUAAUGAAAGGAGACGCCUGCGGAGAGUCUUGCGUCCUAUUAGCUAGUUGGUUGGGUAACGGCUGACCAAGGCGAAGAUAGGUAGCCGGCCUGAGAGGGUGGACGGCCACAAGGGGACUGAGAUACGGCCCUUACUCCUACGGGAGGCAGCAGUGGGGAAUAUUGGACAAUGGGGGCAACCCUGAUCCAGCAAUUCUGUGUGCACGAAGAAGGUUUUCGGAUUGUAAAGUGCUUUCAGCAGGGAAGAAGGAAGUGACGGUACCUGCAGAAGAAGCGACGGCUAAAUACGUGCCAGCAGCCGCGGUAAUACGUAUGUCGCGAGCGUUAUCCGGAAUUAUUGGGCAUAAAGGGCAUCUAGGCGGCCUAACAAGUCAGGGGUGAAAACCUGCGGCUCAACCGCAGGCCUGUCUUUGAAACUGUAAGGCUGGAGUACCGGAGAGGUGGACGGAACUGCACGAGUAGAGGUGAAAUUCGUAGAUAUGUGCAGGAAUGCCGAUGAUGAAGAUAGUCCACUGGACGGAAACUGACGCUGAAGUGCGAAAGCCGGGGGAGCGAACAGG